rnacentral:rRNA from 3 species
GGACUACUGGGGUUUCUAAUCCCGUUCGCUCCCCUGGCUUUCGCGCCUCAGCGUCAGAAGAGGUCCAGCGUGCCGCCUUCGCCACCGGAGUUCCUAAUGAUAUCAACGCAUUUCACCGCUCCACCAUUAGUUCCGCACGCCCCUACCUCCCUCGAGACACGCAGUAUCCGCGGCAGUUCUCCGGUUGGGCCGGAGGAUUUCACCACAGACUUACGUGCCCGCCUACGCGCCCUUUAAGCCCAGUGAUUCCGAACAACGUUCGCACGGUUCGUCUUACCGCGGCGGCUGGCAC